AGAGUUUGAUCAUGGCUCAGGAUUAACGCUGGCGGUACGUCUAAUACAUGCAAGUCGAACGGAGCACUUGUGCUCAGUGGCGAACGGGUGAGUAACACGUAGGUAACCUGCCCUCAAGACGAGGAUAACAGUUGGAAACGAUUGCUAAUACUGGAUAGUAAUAGGAAAGGCAUCUAGACUAUUUUAAAGGUCCUUAUGGGACUACUUGAGGAGGGGCCUGCGGCGCAUUAGUUAGUUGGUGAGGUAACGGCUCACCAAGACGAUGAUGCGUAGCUGGACUGAGAGGUUGAACAGCCACACUGGGACUGAGAACGGCCCAGACUCCUACGGGAGGCAGCAGUGGGGGAUAUUGCACAAUGGAGGGAACUCUGAUGCAGCGAUGCCGCGUGGAGGAAGAAGGUUUUCGGAUUGUAAACUCCUGUCUUCGGGGACGAUAAUGACGGUACCCGAAGAGGAAGCUCCGGCUAACUACGUGCCAGCAGCCGCGGUAAUACGUAGGGAGCAAGCGUUGUCCGGAAUUACUGGGUGUAAAGGGAGCGUAGGCGGGAUAGCAAGUCAGGUGUGAAAACUAUGGGCUCAACCCAUAGAUUGCACUUGAAACUGCUGUUCUUGAGUGAAGUAGAGGUAAGCGGAAUUCCUAGUGUAGCGGUGAAAUGCGUAGAUAUUAGGAGGAACAUCAGUGGCGAAGGCGGCUUACUGGGCUUUUACUGACGCUGAGGCUCGAAAGCGUGGGGAGCAAACAGGAUUAGAUACCCUGGUAGUCCACGCCGUAAACGAUGAGUACU
rnacentral:rRNA from 1 species